GAUGAACGCUGGCGGCGUGCUUAACACAUGCAAGUCGAACGAUGAAGCCCAGCUUGCUGGGUGGAUUAGUGGCGAACGGGUGAGUAACACGUGAGCAACCUGCCCCUGACUCUGGGAUAAGCGCUGGAAACGGCGUCUAAUACUGGAUAUGUCCCGUCACCGCAUGGUGUGCGGGUGGAAAGAUUUUUCGGUUGGGGAUGGGCUCGCGGCCUAUCAGCUUGUUGGUGAGGUAAUGGCUCACCAAGGCGUCGACGGGUAGCCGGCCUGAGAGGGUGACCGGCAACACUGGGACUGAGACACGGCCCAGACUCCUACGGGAGGCAGCAGUGGGGAAUAUUGCACAAUGGGCGGAAGCCUGAUGCAGCAACGCCGCGUGAGGGAUGACGGCCUUCGGGUUGUAAACCUCUUUUAGCAGGGAAGAAGCGAAAGUGACGGUACCUGCAGAAAAAGCACCGGCUAACUACGUG
rnacentral:rRNA from 1 species